rnacentral:lncRNA from 1 species
UUUAGAGCCAGAUUAAGAGCAGCCAUGACAUAACCAACAAAGAGAGAUGGCGAUGAAACAGCCACCUAGCACGAGUCAUGUGGCUCCUCACAGCUGGGUGCAAGGCUGGUCUGGGAUGUCUGGUAAAGCGGAGGGCACUUUGGAGCAGGGCUGUGCCCUCACUGCCGGAGCAGAGCGGUGCGACAGUGCCGGAGCAGCAGGGGUGGGAGCUGCCUCUUUCGAACAUCAGCAUCACACCUGAUGCGAGACUUAGCGGACAGAAGUCCCCAGGGGGAGUUAACAUGGCCCACGGCAGAGACCCUGACUGUGCUGCACCCAGUGUGUGGGCCUGUGAAGACACUUCGUCUCACGUUCUUCUCCCUGACAAUUCGCUAUCCCAGCCACUUGCCAAGGCAGUGCUCCUCGCUGGAUAGCAUUAACAGAGGUGUGUUUCCUUGCAGUUUCUACGCACGUCUGGUUUUCUAUUUCUCUCCCUUUUCCGUUUCCUGUUGGCGCUACAUCCUAAACUCCUAACCUCUUACACACAUGCACAUUUUUUCCCCCCUUGCUGGGAGGUGCCGCACAAUGAAAUCCAUGUAGUGAGAGUUCGGUUUGCUGUAUGUUGGAGCCGCACAUAUGCUAGCCAGUUUUCUCACCCACACCCCUCUCCGUGGGAUUUCUCAGCACACUUGCUUCCCAGCUCCUGCACUCAACAUGUGGUACAAAGUGUAGUGGAAUAUCCGGGUCUGAGGCCCUGCAGUGUACACAAGGACUCUUCCUGACUUGUAUUAACAUUACUGCCAGUGAAAUCUGUGGCAUUUUGAUUGCUUUGGAGCUCCAGUCCUGCAACGCCUUUCUCUCUGCUUGCCCAUAUGAGUCUCCUUUCGGCUUUUUGUCUUCACAUGAAAGAGAGGGCAAAAAAAUUCUUUUGAUGUUUUUGAGAAUAUUGCAAGAUAUUCUCAAGAAAACACCAUUUCAUUUGCUCAGGCUCUUGUUCAUACAGGCUUUCAUGACUUCCAGGAUUGACUAUUUUAAUUUGUUCCUGGUGGUGUUCCAGAUUGUUUGCUAAACUGGCUGCAGAUGGUUUUGAAUGUUGCUGCUGCCAGAAUUGUUACUAGGACUUGAUCUACAGAUCAUAUUUCUCCAGUCUCACGUUCCCUCUACCCCAGUGCCUGUUAAGCAGCAUAUGGCUUUAAAAUUCCUUUACUGACUUAUAAAGCUCGCAGUGGCCCUGAUUCUGUUUACCUUCCUGACCUUUUAACUCUUUAGACUUUGACUUAGGCUCACAGCUUUUCUGAUGUAAAGUCCACUGCUAGUUCAGAGCCAGCGUUCAGAACCAGGGUUGAGUAUGGCUUGGGGUUUUGCUGCUUGUCAUGCCUUUCCACAGCUUCAGUGAAGUGAAAGGAGUGGGAUUUUCUUUCUGCUUUGUUUGCCUAAUAUUCAAUUGAUUAUUCCAAGCUAAGCUUUUCUACAUAGAUGUACACACAGACACAGGCACACACAAGGUCAACAUAUAGGCAGUACACUGCUACCUUAAAAAUAAAAAGUGCAAACAAAGACA